GACGAACGCUGGCGGCGUGCCUAAUACAUGCAAGUCGAGCGAGACUCUUCGGAGUCUAGCGGCGGACGGGUGAGUAACACGUGGGCAACCUGCCUGUAAGACUGGGAUAACACCGGGAAACCGGUGCUAAUACCGGAUAAUCCUUUUCCUCUCAUGCGGGAAAGCUGAAAGUCGGUUUCGGCUGACACUUACAGAUGGGCCCGCGGCGCAUUAGCUAGUUGGUGAGGUAACGGCUCACCAAGGCGACGAUGCGUAGCCGACCUGAGAGGGUGAUCGGCCACACUGGGACUGAGACACGGCCCAGACUCCUACGGGAGGCAGCAGUAGGGAAUCUUCCACAAUGGACGAAAGUCUGAUGGAGCAACGCCGCGUGAGCGAUGAAGGCCUUCGGGUCGUAAAGCUCUGUUGUUAGGGAAGAACAAGUACCGGAGUAACUGCCGGUACCUUGACGGUACCUAACCAGAAAGCCACGGCUAACUACGUGCCAGCCGCCGCGGUAAGAC
rnacentral:rRNA from 1 species